GGCAGGAGUUUUUCUUCCCAGUAAUCGCUGGGACUCAAAUGUGAGGACCUGAAGAGCGCUUUCUUCUCUGAUCCUUGUACCCACAAACACAUACCGGCUGUCAGCUGCCCAGCCCCAGUGGAUCUGUGCUGUCAGCGAGACACAGCAGGGGGCGCCAUGCAAGUAAGGAGCAUCAGGACCCCGCAUUUAGCAUGAUGAGACUGAGAGCCCUGCGGAGGCCAAGGACCAUCCAGAGGGGCUCCUCUGGAAGCUGAGACAGGACAAGCAAGAGAAGGCCGUGUGGACAUGAGGACACGCCCACGAGGUGAGCAGGAGACACCGCUAGGAAGAAACAGCGGAGCUGGGCUUGAACCCACGCCGGAUGACUUGAAGUACCCAGUGAUUGAGAAAAUACUAGGUGACACCAGCUGCUGCAAUUUCAGGAACACUUGGGACAAA